UACGAAGGGGGGCGAGCGUUGUUCGGAAUUACUGGGCGUAAAGCGCACGUAGGCGGCUUUGUAAGUUAGAGGUGAAAGCCCGGGGCUCAACCCCCGGAAUUGCCUUUAAGACUGCAUCGCUAGAAUUGUGGAGAGGUAAGUGGAAUUCCGAGUGUAGAGGUGAAAUUCGUAGAUAUUCGGAAGAACACCAGUGGCGAAGGCGACUUACUGGACACAUAUUGACGCUGAGGUGCGAAAGCGUGGGGAGCAAACAGG
rnacentral:rRNA from 1 species